rnacentral:rRNA from 1 species
CAGCCGCCGCGGUAAGACAGAGGAUGCAAGCGUUAUCCAGAAUGAUUAGGCGUAAAGCGUCUGUAGGUGGCUUUUCAAGUCCACCGUCAAAUCCUCGGGCUCAACCCUCGAUAGGCAGUGGAAACUACCAAGAUGGAGUACGGUAGGGGCAGAGGGAAUUUCCGGUGGAGCGGUGAAAUGCGUUGAGAUCGGAAAGAACACCGAUGGUGAAAGCACUCUGCUGGGCCGACACUGACACUGAGAGACGAAAGCUAGGGGAGCAAAUGGGAUUAGAGACCCCAGUAGUCCCUGUCUCUUAUAC